rnacentral:lncRNA from 1 species
CCUCCCACUUCAGCCUCCUGAGUAGCUGGAACUACAGGUAGAAGCACUUGAAAAAACAAUCAGGACCAACCUGUCUUUCCGUCUCCAAGAGAAGUUGAAUCAAGAUCUGGCAUUGAUCAUGAGAUCCUGGACAUAAUGUCAAUGCAAUCAUUGGACAAGUCUUUUGGGAUAUCUUGGGGAAGAGGAUGAGUAUAUUUUUCCCAGCAGCCAGGAAGGAAAUGAAUAUUUAUGAUCCAGUGUGCAGAUCAUGAUGCUGGCAAGGUUGCGGAGCAAAGGGAACACUUAUACA